ACUUUGGGGAUAAAAUGAGAGAGAGUCAAUUAAUAUGGUUUGGAUUUUCCUAGUACGGAAGUGUAAUAAAUUAGUGGUAGAAGGAGUAAGAGGAGAAAGGGAGAGACUUAAAGUAACUUGAAGGAAAGUUGUGUAAAAGGAUUUACAAUUUUUAGGUAUUUAUGCAAACUUGGUUUCAAACAGAGUUGAAUGGCGAAAAAUUAUUCAUUAGCCAAUCCUGACUAGUUUGGGAUCAAAGCUUAGUUGUUCUUAUCAUUGUUGCUCUAAGAUUCACACUAGCUCUAAGUUGAGAACUGUAAGCUGAAAAGUAAUAUAAAUGACCAUUUAAUGUCUCUAAGAAUCUUUUGCGGUCAUAUUGCAAUCUCUAUAUGACCACUGCAUGAACAGGUAUGCCUAUUUACAUCAGUAUGCUCUUAGGAGAAAGGUAUUUUCAUCAUGCAUGACUUUGUUUCUGGUACUGACGGGUGGACUGAACUUAACCCAAUUUAUCAGCAAAUAUUUGCAGCUUGUGAGCCUUUAGGGAUCAUCAAACAGCCAAUUUGGAGUUACCCAAGUAAUGUAGAAUGACUGGGAAAAACUUUAUUUUUAGAGACUAAGGCCAAGAUUUAACAAACUCAAGAAUUAGGGCUUAAAAAUUAAGUUGGCAGAUCUGUUUACCUUUAGAAAAGCGGAGGAAGAAAAGCAAACAAAAUAAAAUUUCACACCAGCCAACCUCUAUGACCCACUUAUGUCAAGAAAGCCUACUGCUAGGCUCAGUGGUACUCCUUGUUAAGAUUUGGGAAUUUUUUUUUAUCAAUCAAAUGAAAAUUUCAUUGCAAAUAAUUGAGUCUUUGUUCAUUUAAAAAGAAAUCCUAUUGCCAAUGGAAUUCUAAAUCUCUUAAGUGUAAUUUAGGAAUAAAAUAUUGGUAAGUUUUCUUUAAGUUAAGUAGAACGAAGAC
rnacentral:misc_RNA from 1 species